rnacentral:rRNA from 1 species
AUUGAACGCUGGCGGCAGGCUUAACACAUGCAAGUCGAACGAGUGGCGGACGGGUGAGUAAUGCUUGGGAAUCUAGUUUAUGGAGGGGGAUAACUACGGGAAACUGUAGCUAAUACCGCGUACCAUAGGAUGAGCCCAUGUGGGAUUAGGUAGUUGGUGAGGUAAAGGCUCACCAAGGCGACGAUCUCUAGCUGGUCUGAGAGGAUGAACAGCCACACUGGGACUGAGACACGGCCCAGACUCCUACGGGAGGCAGCAGGGGGGAAUAUUGCGCAAUGGGGGCAACCUGACGCAGCCAUGCCGCGUGAAUGAAGAAGGCCUUCGGGUUGUAAAGUACUUUCAGUAGCGAGGCGUUACCUACAGAAGAAGCACCGGCUAACUACGUGCCAGCAGCCGCGGUAAUAC